GUGCCAGCAGCCGCGGUAAUACGGAGGGUGCAAGCGUUAUCCGGAUUCAUUGGGUUUAAAGGGUCCGCAGGCGGACCAAUAAGUCAGUGGUGAAAUCUCUCGGCUCAACCGAGAAACUGCCAUUGAUACUGUUGGUCUAGAGUGUAGUUGGCGUAGGCGGAAUGUAUCAUGUAGCGGUGAAAUGCUUAGAUAUGAUACAGAACACCGAUCGCGAAGGCAGCCUACGAAACUACAACUGACGCUCAGGGACGAAAGCGCGGGGAGCGAACAGGAUUAGAUACCCUGGUAGUCCACGCUGUAAACGAUGAUUACUCGUUGUCGGUGAUAUACAGUCGGUGGCUAAGCGAAAGUGAUAAGUAAUCCACCUGGGGAGUACGAUCGCAAGGUUGAAACUCAAAGAAAUUGACGGG
rnacentral:rRNA from 1 species